UUAUAUUAUUUUGUGGGGACACAUUCUUUAUAAUAAACACAUUCAUAGAUAUUAGAGUACAAACGGGCCGUAGCAACAGGAAAAUGCUAGUGAUAGUACCGUAAAUAAUUUCUCUAAAUACUCGUAUGUAAAAUUAAAAUGGCCGAAAGUUGAAAAAGGUAACCCUUCAAUAAUGUUUAGAGACAUUCUUCCUGUUUGCCCAAGCUGUCUGCUGUAGCAAUGUAUCUGUUUGCAGUUUAAAUUCAGUGUUUUAUGAAUUAGCAAUCAUUUUUGAUCACAUUUACUAUUAUUUUAGUUCUAUUUUUUGUUUUGUACAACCUAUUGAAUAGAAAUGGUGUUGGCGACCUCCGGUGUGUUCUAAGCAA